UACAGAGGUCCCAAGCGUUGUUCGGAUUUACUGGGCGUAAAGGGUGCGUAGGCGGUGGGGUAAGUUUGAGGUGAAAGCUCCGGGCUCAACCCGGAAAAUGCCUUGAAAACUAUCCGGCUAGAGGGUUGGAGGGGAGACUGGAAUUCUCGGUGUAGCAGUAAAAUGCGUAGAUCUCGAGAGGAACACCAGUGGCGAAGGCGGGUCUCUGGACAACACCUGACGCUGAGGCACGAAAGCCAGGGGAGCAAACGGG
rnacentral:rRNA from 1 species